rnacentral:misc_RNA from 1 species
GUGAAUCAUCGAAUUUUUGAACGCAAAUUGCACUCUCUUCUGAGAGUAUGCCUGUUUGAGGGUCAGCCUAAAAAAAAUCAACAAAUUUGCUACUGCGGGUUAACAUUGGUCGGAAAUGGGUUCAUCUUAACCCUUUGGUUUAAAGCAGCUUAAAAUUUCCUUUACGAUUCAAAUAACGUUCAUAAGAUUUUAUUUUCUUAUACGUCUAAGUU